GAGCUGGAAGCUCUGGUGGAUAGGGGCAGGUCUGCUCAUUCACUGCUGCCUUCCCUGCACCUGGUACCAUGCACACAGAAUAAGCCUAGCAGAAUGCCUGUGGAUGGACUGACCAAUGAAAGUAAUGAGGUGCUGGGACCCGAAGGCUGAGUGGCAUGAGUCAUGAGGAGGCAUAGGUGGAGUUGGAGGUGGGAGGAGGAUGAUGUAGCAAAGGAAGUGGGGGUGGCUAAAGAGUUGACAGAUUCUGAAUCUACCUAGCCGUGUGAGCCAGGCGGGUUCAGGCACGUUCCUGGCGGAAGGUGCUCUGAUGCUGUGGAAGACAGUUUCCAUCUGAAGGUGCUGUGGAAUUAUAUGGACAAGGCUGCAGGCAGAUGGCGAGGCCGUGGAGAGAUUCGACUUGGAACCUAUUGGGAGGAUAUAGGGUGGAGACGCGUGAUUAUUUAUAUCAGCCAGAGUCCCAGCAGGAAGAUGGCAUCUUCCACAAGAUAAGUGGGCCAAGUUUAAAGAUGAGAUGAUCUACACAGGGGCCCCAUGGCCUGAUAAGGACCACUGCUACUGAGAAGCUCCAAGGACUGCUCCCUCUCAUCACCCCUUAGUGUGCACCCCUGGACCAUUGGCCCACAUUGGACACCAGACCCUUAGGAUGUGGAUUUGAAUUAUCUGCUCUUUCCUGAAACUAACAGGAUUUUAUUUGCCUUCUGAUCUCCAAGGAUGAAGGCAACUCUAUAGAUCACUGGGGACUCAUCCUGCAGAUAUCAUUCAAGGUAUCCGGUUCAGAAUCUAUCACCAGCUCAGACUGUAGCCUCUGAAGAGAUCUCAGAUGUUUUGUGCCUUAUACAUUUAAUUCUGAGAUCAUAGAGCCCAAGGAGGUUUUGAGGACCCUCUACCCACACCUUCAGAUGUUUUCAGAGGAUUUGCUGG
rnacentral:lncRNA from 10 species